rnacentral:tRNA from 1 species
GGGCCGUUAGCUCAGUCCGGAAGAGCAGGGGACUUUUAAUCCCAAGGUCCAGGGUUCGAAUCCCUGACGGCCCACCA